ACUCAAAUGAAUUGACGGGGACCCGCACAAGCAGUGGAGUAUGUGGUUUAAUUCGAAGCAACGCGAAGAACCUUACCAGGUCUUGACAUCUGAGUGAAAGCCACAGAGAUGUGGUCCUCCUUCGGGACACUCAAGACAGGUGGUGCAUGGUUGUCGUCAGCUCGUGUCGUGAGAUGUUGGGUUAAGUCCCGCAACGAGCGCAACCCUUGAUCUUAGUUGCCAGCAUGUAAUGGUGGGCUCUCUAAGAUGACUGCCGGUGACAAACCGGAGGAAGGUGGGGAUGACGUCAAAUCAUCAUGCCCCUUAUGACCUGGGCUACACACGUACUACAAUGGCCGGUACAACGGGCAGCGAAGGAGCGAUCUGGAGCGAAUCCUUAUAAGCCGGUCUCAGUUCGGAUUGCAGGCUGCAACUCGCCUGCAUGAAGUCGGAAUUGCUAGUAAUCGCGGAUCAGCAUGCCGCGGUGAAUACGUUCCCGGGUCUUGCACACACCGCCCGU
rnacentral:rRNA from 1 species